ACGCGGCAACUUUCAAGUUACAAAUUGAUCUUGGUCAGGUCAAAGUUGCAGCGGGUUACGAUAUAUCGCCAACAGAAAGAGGAGACUCGUCCCAAACGAGGACAAGAUUGACGAAGAGUGCAUCGAAUGAGGUCGUAUCAUCAAAUUGGGUACGAGAAAAGGAGAUCAAAUUUGGAUGUGGCAAGUGUGGCUUUAUUAGCCAAAACGAACGUUUUGGCUGAUAUGACAGUGCAUGUCAGCACAGCCAUUCGGCUCGUCUCCCCUUCCAGUGUGAGGAUCCAUCUUGGGCUUCCUUAUUUGCUUCUCCUCAUUUAAUGACACACACCAUGCAUAACCACACGCCUAAAAUGGGUACCAAGUGUGAUCUCACCUUUUCCUCGUUGGCCAACCUGAACGACCACAAAUCCGCCGUUCAUCACCGGUUCCGCUGCAAAACUUGUGGGGUUGCCUUUCAAGACAAUAAUUUCUAUAAUCACAGAAAGACCUGUGGUAAAUAAGAAGGAGGAUACCUGAGGAAAACGUAAAUGGUGGAAAUAUGUACUACGAUUUAAAUAAAUGCUGUACGGACGGUAAAUUGACCAUGUUCACAAUAUAGAUUUUACCAGAUUAUUUAGAUACGUUCUGGCGAAUGUUAACUACGGAUGGGACUUUUUGAACUAAUCUUAAGGUCUAAGUAUGUAAUGUUCGACUCGUUCGUAUUUAUGUACAUAAGUGGUUAAUUUUCGACAGAUUUAUGUUAUAAUUUAUGUACACCAUACAAAAAAUCUAUUCUUUGUAUUUUAAUACGAAAUAAAUA